rnacentral:rRNA from 1 species
UACGUAGGGUGCAAGCGUUAAUCGGAAUACUGGGCGUAAAGCGUGCGCAGGCGGUGAUGUAAGACAGAUGUGAAAUCCCCGGGCUCAACUUGGGAACUGCAUUUGUGACUGCAUCGCUGGAGUGCGGCAGAGGGGGAUGGAAUUCCGCGUGUAGCAGUGAAAUGCGUAGAUAUGCGGAGGAACACCGAUGGCGAAAGGCAAUCCCCUGGGCCUGCACUGACGCUCAUGCACGAAAGCGUGGGAG